rnacentral:lncRNA from 1 species
AGAGAGAGAGAGAGAGAGAGAGAGAGAGAGAGAGGUCUUCCAGUUUUACAAGCAAAAGUACCAAGCCAGUCCAACAUUGGGUCUUGAACUGCUAUUCAGAACCAACAAAUUUAUCAUUCUCCUGCUAGUUUAGUGUUCCAAGCUCCUUCCCAAGUUCCGGAACCUGUUUUCUAUAAUUUCUUUUUCUUGAAUCCUUGUGGUAGACUAUUUUAUGUUGUCACUCUACUUUGUUUGUGUCCAAGUUUUUUAUUCAAAUCUUUGAGCCAGACUAUUUUACGAGGAAGAGAAGGGUGUCUUCUUAAUAUUCCUAGAAGAAAAAGUGGCUAGCAAAUUCUCCACUUUCGUGGGACAGAGACUCCCCGUUUUGUCUGAAAAAGAAGCACCCAGCAUUCUCUACGCUCUAGAUUUUCUCAGCAAUGGGAUCUGUCCAUUAAGCUACCAGCUUCUGCCCUCUCCAUUGGACUUCGUAGUCCGACACUUGUUUAUACUUCCUCACUCCAAAAGGUUUCUUAGAUUGUAGAUGAACAAGAAAUAAACCCCAAAAGCACAUAUCCGAGACCGCCUUCUUAUGUUAUUGGGUGGAAGACGAGCAAUAGGACACAAAACUCUUGCUUUCCUCCCCUUCUUCUGCUAGAGAAAACAGAAUCGACAUGUCAUCUUUGGAGGGCUUAGCUUCCUCUCUCCUACCAGAAUAGUAAUAAAUGUGAUGAAAAUUCUUAGGGCCUCUUAUUUGGAAAUAUCAGAAUGCUUCUACUGGUGCAAUAAGGUGAGAGUGGGUGGGAUUUCUUGUGAGUUCUGAGUAGUGAUCUAGGUUAUAUGUCGAGCAAUGGCGACGGGCGCCCAAAUCCCGGAAGAGAUGCCUGAGAAGCACCGGAGGAAGCAGCUUGCAACUACUGUUAGGAACAUACGGUGGAGCUAUGCAAUCUUUUGGUCUAUCUCAACAAGACAACAAGGGUAUGGAAGGCCUUCAAAAUUCAAUUUUUCAUUCUUCUCUUUGUUUCUUUCUUUCUUUUUGUGGGUAAGUAUUCUGUUUUUCUAGUUUUCAAACUUAUCCCUUUCUUUUACUGUCUGGUUGUGUUUUCAGUCUGUGUUUGCUCUCCUAGAAAACAAACACUAAGUUGAAAUUAGCCACAUCUCUGGCAUUUAUGCUGCAGUUUAUCGAUUGAAAAUGGUAUCAGUAGUUUUCAUUUGUCUAUUUAUUUAUUUAUUUAUUUAUUGUGG